GGGCUUGUGGUUUAGUGGUAUAAUACUCCCUUAGCAUGUGUGUGAUUUUGAGAUCAUAUGUACAACUUGGGAGUGGUCCGGGGUUCGAUUCCCCGCGAGUCCA